UACAGAGGUCCCAAGCGUUUGUUCGGAUUCACUGGGCGUAAAGGGUGCGUAGGUGGCUUGGUAAGUUUGAUGUGAAAUCUCCGGGCUUAACCCGGAAAUGGCAUUGAAUACUAUUUAGCUUGAGGAGUGGAGGGGGGGACUGGAAUUCUCGGUGUAGCAGUGAAAAAUGCGUAGAUAUCGAGAGGGAAACACCCAGUGGGCGAAAGGGCGAGUCCCCCUUGG
rnacentral:rRNA from 1 species